rnacentral:other from 1 species
GUUUCAAUCCCUCAUAGGUACGAUACCUCAUAGGUACGAUAAAAAC